UACGUAGGGCGCAAGCGUUAUCCGGAAUUAUUGGGCGUAAAGGGCUCGUAGGCGGCCAACUAAGUCAGACGUGAAAUCCCCAGGCUCAACCUGGGAACUGCGUCUGAUACUGGAUGGCUUGAAUUCGGGAGAGGGAUGCAGAAUUCCAGGUGUAGCGGUGAAAUGCGUAGAUAUCUGGAGGAAUACCGGUGGCGAAGGCGGCAUCCUGGACCGACAUUGACGCUGAUGAGCGAAAGCUAGGGGAGCAAACGGG
rnacentral:rRNA from 1 species